GUGAAGACACCAUUUUCUAUUUUCAGUGUUUGAACGAAAACAAGGUCUCCCGGUCUGAAUAUUAUCGCUAUUUUACGAGAAAAAUCACAUAAAAAUUUAUUUUAAACAGCGUUUGACAUGCUUCGAAUUACGAACAACUUGUCAGGUGGUGCAUUGGAGACUGAUGUGUUCCUGUCCUGUCUUUUCAUAAUACUAUUGCAGAUCAACAUAAAAGCCUUAAAGACAGCCUCUUCAUUUCUUGGUUCUCCUGUGGUGCAUAAGAGACCCGCUACAUAACUAUGGAUUAUUUGGAACCAAAACAACAUUGGGUGUUGAAGUAGAAGUCCUGGGAGUGCAUUCUGACGAAGAACAGCAAAGCAGGAGGUGGAGGCCACCCAAGACGAGGCCGUAAAUAUCAAGAUAUGUGAGGUGAUUUAGGACAGUCAGAGCAGGGGGGAGACCCAGAGGGAGAGAGAAAACAAAGAGGCGAGACUGUGGUGAUGAUGACUGCAGGUAGAUUGCACCAAAGAGGUUGGAGGAUCACCAUCAAGGGGGGUCUGACCUGGAAUGGCCGUCCGGAGUCCAGCAGAGCAAAGGGCCAGAGGCAAUAAAUAAGCUUUACGGCAGGAGGAGCAUGUGGUCAGGUCAUCCUUCUCCCCCCCUUCCCCUCUCCUCUCCUCCUUAAUCCCAUCCUGUCCGUCUCCUCCUCCUCUUCCCCUAGCCUGUAAUUACUCUGUAUCUAAUACCACGUGGAAAUGCCAACAGAUGCCCACUGUCUAAGACAGGCAUUAUGUGCUUAGUGGAUGUCCUGUUAAUGCUGGUUUCUACCAGGCC
rnacentral:lncRNA from 1 species